AGAGUUUGAUCAUGGCUCAGGAUGAACGCUAGCGGCAGGCCUAAUACAUGCAAGACGAACGGUAAGAUUUUUAGCAAUAAGAAUCCUAGAGUGUCGUAAGGGUGCGUAACACGUAUGCAAUCUGCCCUGUACAGGAGGAUAGCUCCCCGAAAGGGGAAUUAAUACUCCGUAAUAUAAUGUUGUGGCAUCACGAUAUUAUUAAAGCUGAGGCGGUACAGGAUGAGCAUGCGCAUGAUUAGUUAGUUGGCGGGGUAACGGCCCACCAAGACGAUGAUCAUUAGGGGAACUGAGAGGUUGAUCCCCCACACUGGCACUGAGAUACGGGCCAGACUCCUACGGGAGGCAGCAGUAGGGAAUAUUGGACAAUGGGUGCGAGCCUGAUCCAGCCAUGCCGCGUGCAGGAAGACGGCCUUCUGGGUUGUAAACUGCUUUUGCCAGGGGAUAAAACGUUCCUGCGGGGAUAAUUGAAGGUACCUGGUGAAUAAGCCACGGCUAACUACGUGCCAGCAGCCGCGGUAAUACGUAGGUGGCAAGCGUUGUCCGGAUUUAUUGGGUUUAAAGGGUGCGUAGGUGGUCUGAUAAGUCAGUGGUGAAAUACGGCAGCUUAACUGUCGAGGUGCCAUUGAUACUGUUAGACUUGAGUACAGACGAGGUAGGCGGAAUUGACGGUGUAGCGGUGAAAUGCUUAGAUAUCGUCAAGAACACCGAUAGCGAAGGC
rnacentral:rRNA from 1 species